UAUUAGCUCCACAGUGUAUGUUUUUGUGUGCCUCUAGGUUUUAUAUCAGCAUCCUUUAAUAAAAGAGGGGAAAGUCAAUUGUAGCAAAAGAAGCUACAGAAGUACUGGCUGGGCAUCUGUGUGACUGAACAGUAUGUACCAUUUGAAUGUUGUGGGUGCUGGUUUUCUUCAUAGUUGCCAUUGGUUCUCAAGCUAACUGUGAUUCCUGAAAGAUCAAAGAUUUAGUUUUAACACCCAGUUUGGGAUCUUCCCAGUAAAAGGCAGCAGAUUUACGGUGCACUAAGUCUUACCUGGUUCUGAUGUUCUAUUUAAAGAACUGCAAUGGAAAGGUGGUGUGAUCUAGAUAGGCAAGAAAUGGCUCUAUGUUUUGCAGGGGUUUUGAGGUUUACAGUCAUCUCUGCCAUGGUAUUGCCAGGUGUGAUCAAACAGUCGUACAAAUCUGAAAUCAGUUUUCUACUGGGAAUCCAAACUUUUAGUAAAUCACUGGUGGUCAUUAUUGCCCUUCCACUGAGAGUGUUACUGCUUCUUACUCUGUACCUGUAUUGAGUUUCUCAACUACUGACAUAUUGGUCUCAGGCCUUCAAUAAUUUUGUGUAGGGAUUGACUUUAAAAAAAAAAAAGGGAGAAAAAAAAAAAGUUGUGGGCUUUUCGUGUGUUUGGUGGUUUUUAUCUGCAGUGAUUGGUGCAUUUCAACUAUCCCAGGAAAACUCAGAGUAAAGACAGGACUCUUUGGUGGUUCAUUGAAGUAAACACAAGGGGUCUUGCCCUGAAAAACACAAUUAUGUCCAUAUCAUCAAGAUCAUAUUUGGGCAAAACUAAAAAACCUUGUCUUCAUUGUGGGUUGACUGAAGGUUGACUGGUGCUCAUGAGUUAAGCCAGGGUCAGAAAGCACUCUGUAUUGAGUUUCAAUACCAAACCCCAAACACAGACAGAAGCACUUUUAUGCACAAGGACAUUCUGUCAGAUUCAGUGUGAGCCUAUAAAAUGAUUAUGCUGGGUAUUUUAGGCUUGCUGGUUGGUGAACUAUCUCCAUCUGAAUUGUUAUGAUCUGUGGGAAAAAAAUGGCUUUGUACUUCAGCUCUGAAAUAAGUAGCCAUAUUUUCAACGCUCAGAGCUCUCUUCAGCUACUGUCUGCUGUGUGUCUUUGCUCAGAGAUGACUGUUUCUGUAAAACAGAUUUGCUUUCUGUGUAGAACAGGCCAUAUUGGCUAAUUACACACAUCCUGAUCAAAUUUUAAGAUAUUUGAACAUUGUCUCUGAAGAGCCACCAAAACUGAAGCAUCUUGUCAUCUUGUGAUGACCUUGAACAUAUUUCUAGGGGACACAAGAAACCAGCCAUUGGUACUUGCUACCUGUUUUUAAAUGUUGGUGCAACCACAUCAGAAUUUUAAGCUGAGUUAUCUCAGAGGAGACAACUGCAGUUCAACACAGAGCAUGGACAUAUGCUGGGUGAAGGCACUGACUUCUCCAGACUGUGUUGUAUAAGGUUUGAUCAUCAUUAACAUCUGAUGCAUACAAAUGUUUGGCAGUUUUCGUGCCUUUGUGCUUUAGUCAGAUGGCCUCUGUUAUUCUAUUUGUGCCCACUGUUAACUAAGUAGAGUCUGGUUUAGUCUGCCUUUUUCACUUGGCCUUCUGACACGACCUUGCUUUCUCAUUUCAGUUUCGCUGUUGAAAUUUGGUAUAACUUUGGUGAAGAAACAGUGCCAGGCUGCAGGCAGGGAGAUUUGUUAUGCCACAGCCUAAAGCCUGUGUUCCUGCACCACAUUACUGCAGGGUCUCUCUGUUCUCACCCUCUGGAUGCAGGUGAUUAACACGUGGUCCAGGGAAUUGCACUUCUGCCUGCUCAGUAAUUUGCUGGGCAGCGAUGCAGUCAUCCGGAGCAGCUGCCACUUAAAUGGGCUGUAGAUUGUUCUCUUUUUAUUUUAGUGCCUGCAGAGCUUCACUGUGUGCCACAGCCAGACACAUGUGUUGAUGUUUGCUGCAGCAAAGCAUCUAUUAGCUGCAUCUCACAAUGUGCUGCCUAUGCAGCCAAUUUUCAGGGGAAUCCCUGCAUGCAUGUGAAUGGUUGUUCCCAUCUCCAUCCACAGAUGGGAGGCACAUCAAGGCCAGGGGUGAGGACUAAAAACUUACUAGACCCCCAACAGGUACGAUUAACUGCUUGUGGGAUUUCAACAAUGUCUGUAUAGGAUGGAAAGUCCAAACUUGAGGUAUCUGUCCAAAUGUCACUUCAAAGGUUUUGUAACCCAGCACCAGGUGGCCAUGGUGACACCGGUGUCAUUCUGGAGGAGGGGAAAAGGUUAGGGAGUGAUCCCAGGGUAACUGAGAAGCAAGGCACUCAUGUCCUGGGCUCACAGUGCUGAACUAUCUUCCCUACCGCCAUGCUCCAGGGAGGCACGGAUGUGAUUUUGGCUACCUGCCUUUGCAUAGGCACAUAGUAAAUAAUUAACAUGCACGGCCAGGCCUUUUGGUCAUCAUUUAUUGCUGUAACUGAUGAUUAAUUCAAGGAAUUAUUGAUUCUCAUGCCAAAUCUUUACUCAUUGGUGGUAGAGAAACUAAUAAUCAUUCACAGGGUCAUUAUUGACAGAUCUCAGUAUAGGAGGUGGAUAAAACAUGUGGAAAUGGAAGUGUAUGUCCAUAGGUUUGUUUGUCUCUUCCAUAUCAUGAAGGGAGUGAUUGACAAACUCAAGUCAAAAGUCUGACUUGUACCCACACCAAGGCCCCUCUUGUUGGGUGUUCACAUACUUGGUGGUGCUUUCAGGAGGAGCAGGGCCACCUGGGAUCACCAAACAGCUCUCCAGAGAUGUCUGCUCAGUGUUCACAGGAAGCUCUUUCCUGGACACUGGAGACUCUGGAGACACUGUGCUUUGCACAGUAACACAUUUGGAGUGUGAUUCCCUUAAAUCUCCUGUCCUGUGCUCAUGGUACACAUAAGCUUACCUCCCUGGGCCCUACCCUGAAGCACUUCCUUUCUUUGGCAAUCUCCUAAAUUCUAGUUAAUCUCCUUCCCAUGACUCCAGACCUCAGCUCUUCUCCCCUUUCCACCACAGUGCCCCAGUCAGUGCCUGCUGCCUUGCCAGAAGCUUGCUCAGAAGGGUUUCACACUGGGGCCAAGAAAAAACUCAAUGCUCCCCGAGUAUGUGUGUUAAUGCUUGGGUGUCUCCUCUCAUCUGCUGUUUUUCCCAAAGUUUGACAGAACACCUUGCCUCAGAGACCCUCACUUGAAGUCCAGCAUGGAUGUGUUUGGAUCCAACAGUCAGUGAAGGUCACUGGCAGUGGAAGCCCCAACACCCAUCUCCAUGGCACACAGCCUUGCUUCCUUAAGCAAGGAGACAGAGAAAUAGCAGCCUGCUAGGAAGGCAUAAUUAAGUGUAUCCUGACUGAAAGUUCAGGUGUAUUAGUAAGAACAUGAUGCCCAGCAUGGUCCCUUGCAUGUACUUCCAGAAAAUUAUUACAAAUAUAUUGUGAUAAAUAAUAACAGCAGCCUUCCCUGUGUUUACAAGCUGCUGUUAUUGUACUGUAUAGCCUGAGUCAUUUUCCUUUCCGCUUGUUAGAAACAGAAAAAAUUGAAUUUGAUUAAGAAUUAAAUUAUUUCCUGAUGUUCCUCGUCUUGCAGCAUUACUUCUUAUGUUUGAACAAGGAGGUCAGCCCAGCUUUGCUUAGAACAUUUUCAGUACCUUACCAUAUUAUGUUAUUUGUGUGUCACACACAUAUGAAAUCAGAGUGAGUUAUGUGAGUCUCAUUUCUGUGCUGUGGACACAAAAGCAAGGUUGUUCCCUAUAUUCUGUCUGAUUAGAGAUUUUUCUCUCUGCUGCUUUGCCUCAAUACACAGAAAUCACCUUUUUCCUAGAAAAAAUCAGUAUUUUCUGGUGCCUCAUGCUGUCAGAGAGCCAGCACUCUUCUGAGCACUCUCCCUUCAAAGAUCAAUCAAAUUUUGGGCAGAGAACUCCCUUUCCCACUUGAGACUUUUUUUUCAGCCUGAAAGACUUUGUGGCAUCUGUUUUAGGCUCCUGUGCAACACCUGCUGCUGGUGACAGUGCAGGUCUUUUUCCGCCUCCAGGGAAGAAAGGUGACUUAACAGAAAGGCCAACUUUAUAACAGGCAUUUGAAUUACUUAAAUGUCCUGCCAUAAUGACAAAAAAAAAAUCUAGCCUCUUAAAAAUUAUGCAGAGAAGUCAGUUUUGGUCUUUACUAGAGAGCAGGUUUGUGCAGCAUUUCCACAUCAGUGCAGCUUGUGAGGCUCCAACAGAGAACAGCUUUUCCACUGAAGGCUCUUUCAUUCAUGUUUGGAAAAUUGCUUUGUAGUUUCAUGGCUUCCUUUCUGUUUGGACACACAUCUGGGGUCAUUGGCUGUGCCUUCUGUGCUUGUUCCCUAGCACCUUCUGUGCCUGGUGCUCUGGCUCUGCAUAGGAUGGAGCAAAGAGGGGGAAGUGGCUCUUAACUUACAGGGUCUGUUGAUUGCUGUCACCUUCUCUGGGCUUUGAAAGAACUCAGCUGGAAGAAUGCUUCUAGCACUGAUGUUCCAGUGGAAACAUGAUUAACAGGAAGAAAAGUAGUGACAUUUCCCAGAGGGAAGUAGAUGUGAGAUGAUCCAUGUGGGACAGUUGUUCUGUGCUGCCAGGGAAAAGGUCAUUUUUUCAGUGUAGGUGCAGGUGGCAUCAUACAUGGCCAACUCCACCUGGAAAUCAGCUGUACAGUCCAGAUGUUGAGCUAAACACUGGGAUCACCAUGGUAGGCCAUGGUGAUCCCAGCGGCUUUCCUACAUGGCCAUCAAGUUAUUUUGUAUGUAAAACCAGAGUAUCAUGUAUGGGACUCUGCCCAGAAAAUUCUCUGGAAAAGCACAUUCUGUAAAUGGGGUUGAGUAGGCUUGUUAUUAAACCCUCCCAAUAAGUGCCUACUUAAAAAGGAGGGACAAAUCUCUCCAUAAAUGAGGGAAUUAUUCUUAAUAGUGGCUGUAACCCUGACCUUUCCUACAAGAUCUUGGGGAUCUUGAAACAUUUUUCCAACAAAGAUCAAACUAUUGGCUUUUAUCAGACACAUAAACAGAAGGCUGGAGAGACUGAGGGGUUGGCCUUGCCUCACAGAUUCCUGAUGCAGUACCCGAGUCCCAUUCUGUAGGUGGCAUGUGCCCUCAGGAAUGAGGGAAGGGAGGAGGACCUUGGUGCUUUACCUGAUCCUUACAGCACUGCAUUAGGAUAGGCCCCACUUCUCUGCCUCUCUGCACUGCAGUGGCAUUACACAUGCAUUGCAAUGCAUUACACUGGGAGCUUUCUCCACCAAAACCAGAAGUGUUACAGCAACUAAGAGACCAAGGAUGAAAGAAGGAAACUGUGAGGCAACAAGGAUCAUCAGGCAUGUAAUUUUUCCCAAUACCUCCACUCUUUUCUUUUCAAAGCACAUGUUGAGUGAGGCUGGGGAAGCAAUUGGCAGCACAUUCACAGCAUCUUGGUCCUCUGUGUAUGUGUCUUCUGCAAGGAUCUCAGUCUGGUGUGUGUACUGAAAUUGUGUCAGGAGCUACACAGUUUCUGUCUGGGGAUUUAGCAUUCCUGGUCUGCCAGAAGAUUUAAUUUCCCCUAUCAAGAGCUCUUGGGCACUUUAGAUCUGCUGUAAGGAAGGGGAUAAAAUCAGUAGUAAGGCAGGGCAUCUCUCUGGACAUGAGAGUGCAGAGAACAGCAGUGCUCCUGCUUCCUCUGGUCCUUGCCUGCUCCAAGGCCAGUGCACACCUCAGUGCUCACAUCGGGCUGCCACAAGAGCUGAGAUUCACGGGGUGGUGUCUGAAACACAUUUCCUCUUGUGAAAGUCUGGCAAGUGUACGUGAAAACAUUUCAUCAAGUUAUCAAAUAACAUUUUGUUCUUGUCUCCAUAUGAUGAGCAUAGCUUGGCAGUCCAGGCUCUUACAUACAAGAUUAUACAUGCAGCAGCUCUCAAUGCAUUAUUUUUCUAGCAUUAAGUUAUUCUGCUUCCCCUUGUGCCCAUGUGAAAUUCUGUCAUUUAUGUCCUGUGGUAAGAAGCUGAGUUUAGCUAAGCUGUUUAAAAAGAACCUAUGCUUUGGGUCAGUUUGAACCUGUCAUCUAGCUUUGCCUGCUGUCCCACAUCCCAAAAUACCCAGCACAGUCAACACCAGGCCCCUGGUAACCAGAGAGGUACUGACAAAUCUGGGAAGUUUUUGGAGGAGAGUGACAGAGUUGAUCAGGAGAGGUGGAAGCACAGGUAGAUGAGUUCAGCUAUAAACUGAUGCUGAGCCCAGCUCAGGAAUGACUAACAAAUGUGUGGUUUGUGAGACAUGUAGCGCUCUGAUGAGCACGAACACCCUCCCACUCUCCUGAGCAUGAGAGCAGAAUUCUUGGUGUGACACGCAGGGAUAUAACAAGGGCUAAUGGUGUGACAGUCAGACUGAAAGUAAGGUAAAAUUUCCUGACAGUGAGAUGUAUUUUGCUGUGAAACGGCCUCCCAAGGGAAAGGGCAGGAGCCCAACUGCUUUGUCUUUUUAAAGCCAAACUGGACAAAGCAUUAGGAAAGGUAAUUCAGGGAGCAAGUGUAAAUUGGCUGGAGUGGUGAUCUAACAGAUCCUUUCCAUUUCUAGCUCCUAGGAUAUAAUGCUCUCUGUAAUUAAUUUUUGACCGGUUUUUAGCUUAGAGGGUAACAUGGAGAUGAAACUGAGCAAAAAUAUUAACAAUAAGAACUGAAAAAAUCCAAACCAUAGAGUUUGUCUAGUAGUCAGGGAAAGUGCCAGAUUGAGAGUUCCUUAGGUUAAUGGCACUAUUCAAAAAUAGCUUUGCAAAUGGGAAAGUGAAAAUUGUUACAUAGGUAAUUAUUAUAGUAAUGACAUAUUUUUAAAGAGUCCUGGUAGUCCCAAGUAUCCAAGAGCACAUCUCAGAUUUAGGGGUGUGCACGCAUUAUUCAUGUAAUGGGAAACUGCUGUAGCUGACACUGAAAUGCAGCAACCACUGUUUUAAUGGCAGCAGUCUAAGAUGGGGUAUAAAGUAUGACUUCUGUAACUGAAACUGUAGAAGAAUUGUCUUGGUUUCUCAGAAUUUCUUUGACUGAUUAGUUAUAUAGGCAGGAGUUUCUUUUGCAACUGCUUUUCCCCAUAUUUUUGCUUUUAAAGCAGCAGGAUCUGGCAAUAUUGACCAGGCUUUCCUGGUUCCUUUUGGGUGGGCAGGGAGAGUCUGCCAAACUAGCAUGACCCUGAGCUGAGACACACUGGACUGGCCUCCUUAUGCAGGUUUAUCUCCCUCUUGAGAGUCCUGACUUCAGCCUCUAAAUUCCUGGAGAACAAGGGCAAUCUAGUUUACUUUAGUAAAGACAAGAAGGGAGCCCUUUUGUAAAAAUAUGAAAAUGCAAAAUAGUAUGGUUUUUGUGUGAAACCAGAACAGGCAGAUUGGAAAAGCUGAAUAAUAUAUUAUUAACUGGUUUAAAUAUUGUAAUUUUAAACUGAAGUGUGUGGGUUUUCAUUCACAUAGGGAACAACUUUUUUUUUUAUUUUGUUGUUUAUUUUUAAUAAGCAGUCACAAAUCUGAAAGAAAGUGGCUAAAAUACAGAUGUUCUGCAUUGUUUAUCAUUCAUGAAAUUAGACUUUCUUAGGCAACAGCCUUGAGGAGUCAGUUGAAAGAGGAAGGAAAUGAGCCAGGCAAGAACUUGCAUGUUGAACAUGUCAUCCUUCUGGAGCCACAUGCUCACCGUGGAACUGACUCACAUGGCAUUAAAAAUUGUUUGUUCUCAUUUACAUGAUCUGCAAGACUGUGUUUAAUGUAAUAUGUGUUAGCUGCACAAUUAGUCAAAUGCUAUCCAUUUGUUAAUGAUGGGGGAAAGCAUUCCUCUGUAAAAUGCUAUUGACUACUGAGUAGCUCAGGUGCUACACAGUUUGACUACCUCUGUAUUUUAGAUAGAUUUACCAAUAUCUAAGGAUUUUUUUCAACAGUUACUACAUAUUUAGUUCUUUUGUCUGUUAGCUAGUCAUGCAAAAAUCAGUAAAAAUUUUCCUAUAUUAUAUUAUUCAUAGGGGCUCUUUGGAGCUUGAGUUCUCACUUAUUUAUUAGAAAUUUUAGUGUUUAAUCAAAGAAUCCCGUAACUUCUGGCCUGAGAUAAAAUCCUGCCACUCUUCUGCUUCCAAAAUAACAGAGCCAAAAAAAUAUUUAUUUAUAAACAACUGAUGUGAUAGUCUUCAGCUUACAGCUACUGUAAACCUUCAUGAUCUGGGUUUCCCAGGGCUUGGAGGUUCUUAGUGUUAUAGCAGCUGAAAAAAUUAUAGCACCAGCAGCUUCCAUCAUUUGAGAUGCCAAAAUUGCAACAUUCUUCUGAAGCGGCUCCUUUUUUUUUUUUUUUCCCGAACCUUCUUAUGUAAAUUUUUUCUCUCUAAAACCUUUCAACUAGUCCCACGUCUUAGACUGUAGAUUAGUGUUCGGCUUUCAGUAGGAUGUUUGUUUCUUAACUUCUUUAUUUUAUGAAAGAAUGACUUCUAUUCCUUUUCCAUUUAGGCACCUUAGAAAUCCUACCUUUCUUAGUGAUGCCACAGAAAAUCUCUCAAACCGUGGGUGGUUCAGCUGCCGUUACCUGAUGCAACCCUCAGUCUGGGUACUCUGUCUUGCUUUAGGAAAAGGAUGGCUUCUGGCAAGAGGCUGUGGAUCCCAUGCCUCUGUUUGCUUGUUGGCUGCUGGUAUGAGGAGGCUGGGAAAGGGUGGAAAGGGACGUCAUGCAAGGGAUCUCGCAGAAAAGCCGUGGCAUGAAUGAAUCAGAGAACAUUGCUUCCUACUUAAGUGCUAAAUUCCUCUUAGAUACAGAAGGGAUGUAAUUCCAAAGUCCAGGUACAGAACAGAGGACAGACAGAUGUUGACUGGUCAGGAAAGUAUAAGUACCAUAAUACAUCGUGUGAUUGACUGAAAAGGGAGCUGGGAAUCUCCUUUUUAUUUCCUGCAGGGGCACUGACCUGAGAGACCAUGGAGAAUUCACAUCCCCUCAGUUCUCCAGCCUGAGAAGUGGGAAUGAUAAUGCCAGCUUUUCUUUGCCAUGUCUUUUGAGACUUCCAGAGACCUGAAAAAAACAAGGAAGAAAGCCCCUGUGAGCUGUGGAGUUGAAGAGGUACAUGUUGACAGCUCUUGGAUGGCUGAAGGCCAAAGACAAGUAUUUGUGUGCCAGUAAUAGCACGGGAGGCAGCAGGGCGAUUGCGUGGGGAGCCAGGGCUCGCUUUUCCCCACAGGAAUGGCUUUGCAUUUGGGCUUGUCAGGGAACAUGGCUGCAGCUCCUCUGAGCUUUCACUCCCAAAAUUCUUGGCAAACCGGGGGGUUUCCUACGCAUCAUGUCCAGCUUUGCUGAAAAAUCACCAGCUGGCUGCUCCUGCCUGGGAGGAGGAUGCCCCUCGAGAGGAAGCCUUGUGGUUGCACAGGCUGCACAGGGGUUUUACUCAGCAGGAUGAAGAUUGGCUGCCAGCUGGGUUUAAACUCGUGCCACCCCUCUAGGCUGCUCAGAAGGGCUGAGCUCUGGAUAUCUCUGGGGAGACAGGGCCAUCAUGUGCUCAGACAAGGUCAGCGUCAUCUGCCUGAGUUACAGGAACAAAAGCUUGAGCUCACCCUAAGCGUGCUCAGACUCUCCCUUUCCAGGGGUGAUCUUUUAACAGGGAUUCACACAGAGGAGACACUUGGAGAUACACUCAGAGGACUGAAAGCAAUUUGGAUCUUUGUCCUGUACUUAACUGAUACUGAAAACUUCCCUUCUAAAUGUUGGCAUAGGCCCUCUUGGCUUAGACUAGUGUUUGUCUGACUCCAUGAGAUUCCGUCCCAGCACACCCUGAGUGAAAGACUCCACCAGCUCAUUUAGAAAUUGAGUUUGUUCAUCAGAGUCAUGUCCCAUGCAGAGAGGGAAAAAAUCCCUGCGCUGAUGUGGAUUCCUCUAAUCUAUAUAUUCAUUCAUGGCUGAUGGUUUGGAAAUGAUAGUAUGGAAUAAGAUUAUUAUGGAUCCUGGCAAGGAAUGGAAUUUGUAAAAGCAGAUUUAAUUUUUAAAAUAAUUUUUAAAGUUUUUUUUUAAUUGUAUUGCUUUAUUUUUAUUUUAUUUUGCAAAAGGUAAAUAAUAAUACCCAAGAAUCCCUCAAUCCCCUUCCAGUGUUCUCCUCUCGCUACAUGAAACUGCCAAAUCUGAAUUGGAAAUACGCAAAAAAAAUGUAGGGUUUUUUUAUGAUGCUUGGAAGAAAAUGGAUUUGCAGAGCUUCUCUCUUUAAAUGUGUCAACAUAAAUGACAUCCUAGCAGGUCUUGCAGAUUGCAUGGCAUAGGCAAAUAACUGCUAUUUAUUGCAUGGGCUGUGCAAUUUUUUACCUAGCUAUUUCUGCCACAUGCAGAAUAGAUGAAACAAAUUUUCCUCACACAUUUAUAUAUACAUUUAUACAUUUAUAUAGUGCCUGUCAAGAGUUGCAUGCUGUGGUCUCCGCUAAUGCUUAUUUGUGCCAUGAUUCCUUAUCCAGGAUUUAACCCCUCCCAGAGGAAAACUACAUCCCAUCUGUGAUACCUAUUACAAAACAAGCCAGAUUCUGUGCAGUGUUCUGUCAAACAGGUUACAAAUGGCAUUUUCCUUGCCUUUGGCCUCCCUAGUCUCCUCUGGAAAGGCAAUCUAAGGCAAGUCUAUCACAGAGUUACAGGAGAGACACCUUGCAACUGACUCUUUCAGGUCUCGCAGUCUUUCACCACCAGCUUGUUUCAAAGGAAUAGCAACAUAAAAGAGAAAAGCAUUUAAAAAGAGAAGACAAAUAAGUCAAGGGAGGCUCAACAACAAAAAAUCCAGUUCCUUCUGCAUGGAUAUCAGUAAAAGCUGUGUGUGUAAGCACAUCAGAGUUAAUUUGUUUGAAGCUUUUGAUACUAAGGAAAAAAGUUAAACCAUAUCUCUAUUACUUCUAUCUUGCUAUGUGUAUUUCCAAGCUGCUUGCCCCCCUGGCUUUGGAUGUUCUCUACUAAUAUGUCAGUUACCAAACAUAUUAUGCUCCAACAGUUCCUCUGGAUGGGAAUAUCACUUCUGUUCCUCACAGCUGUCAUUGGAGAGACAACGCAUGCGUCUGAAGGUACCCCUGGAAUUUGCUGAAUCAGACUCCAAGUUUUCUGGUACAGCAACAUUUUACAAUUCUGCUCUCCCUUAAUGUCCUAAAUAUCUCAGUUUUCUGAAACAUGCAAAUUACAUCUGUGAUGCAAACAUUGCGCCUGCGUGUGUCUGUAUGGGAUUUGCUCAGGCAGAGCUUUCACCGCCCGCUUAUUUUUCAGAGUAAAGAAAAAUAAAGGUCUCUGUACUUAGCCUACAAUGACAGUUUUGCAGCAGAAGAACACUGAACAAGAAAAAUGAAGACUGCAGAAGUGGAAGGAGGAAAUGAAAGUUGCUCUACCGACAGGGCGACAUGAAUUCAGCAAUGGGUGGAUUAGUCUGAGUGUUAUCAGUGAUGAUGAAACACAGCAGACUGUGGCUUUGCAGUGCAUUCCAUCAAUGUUGUCUAAGGGCACUACAGAUGACCUCAGUGUAGCCCCUUCCCAGUGGGCAAAGAGUGCUUCAGAUCCAUUAAAUGCCUGGCCCAAAGGGAUUCAGGUUACCAGAGCAGGGGGAAGAACACAAGCCAAAUCUCUUAUUUUCAGCUUCUGGACCUUCCACAGCAUGGAAGAAACUCCUGAUAUUCAGCUCUUCUAGGAGGGAAAGCGUUGCAAAGCUUUCAGGUUGAAGGAUUGAAACCACCCAAGGCUGGAGCCUUGCUGCUCUUCAACAGGCAAAUGAGAUGUUUCAUGAGGAAUUUCCUUUCUGUGACUAUGAAAUGAGUGCAUCUUCCAGCAGCACCUUCUGCAGCAUCCUCCAUCCACAGGAGGAACAAAGCAGGGAGCCAGAGGACAUGGCCUAGUUCCAGACACUGAGAACAAAUGACAAGGAUGAUCAGAGAUAUGAACCACCUUUCUCAAUAGAUUGGUGGUCCUAAGCCUGUGAGGCUGGGAGGCAGUGGAGUUUUGUUGGAGCCUGAAUGGAGGGAAAAGUGGCAACCAUUUCAGACAGUUCCCCACUCAUUCCUUUGUACUACAGACAGCAGACCAUGAGCCAGCAUGUGGUGGGCUUCUAGCUUAUACAGAAUCAGGCUGUGGGAAAUCCUUGCCACAGGAAGGCUGCUGAAAAUUUCCAUGGGAUCAAGGGAUCAUGAAGCAUGUUCAGAGAAGAUAAAUCCAUCAAUGGUUAUUGCAUACAAAGGCUUUGCCUUGGGUUCAAGCAGUCCCAAGUGGACUGCAAGCUGCUACUCUGGACUGGCUCCAACAGCUUGAUGUCCCCUAUGCUGGGGACCCCAGAGCUGGAUGCACGGUUCCAGGUGGGGUCUCACCAGAGCAGAGCAGAAGGACAGAAUCCCCUCCCUCACCCUGCUGGCCACAGAUCCAGCCCAGGACACAUUUGGCUUUCUGGGCUGAGAGUGCACAUUGCUGGGUCAUGUCCAGCCUCUCAUCCCCAGCACUCCCAAAUCCUCAGCAGGGUGCUCCCAGUCUGUUCAUUCUCCAGCCUGUGUUGAUGCCAGGGGUUGCUCUGGCCCAGGUGCAGCACCUUGUACCUGGUCUUGUUAAACCACAUGGAAUCCCCAUGGUCCUGAUUUUCAAGCUUGUCCAGCUCACUUCCAGCUUCCUCUGGAUGGCAUCCCAUCCUUCAGGUAUGUUAACCAUGUCACUCAGCUUGGUGUCAUCUGCAAACUUGCUGAGGGGGCACUCAAUCCCUUCAUCCAUGUCAUUAGUGAAGGUAUAACACUGGUCCCACUACAGACUCCUGAGUGACACAACUUGUCACUGAUGUCCAUCAGGACUCUGAGCUGUUGAUCACUCCCCUGUGGAAGGGGCCAUCUCACAACUUCCUUAUCCUUCUAACAGUCCAUCCAUUGAAUCCAUCUCUCCCCAAUUCAGAGAGAAGGAUGUUGUGGGGGAUUGUGUCCCAGGCUUUACCAAAGUCAAGGUAAAUGACAUCUGUAUCUCUUCCCUUGUCCACUGAUGUAGUUACCUCAUCUGAGGAGUCCAAGAGGUUGAUCAGGCAGAACUUGCCCUUGGUGAGGCCGUGCUGGCUGUCCUGAAUCACCUUCCUGUCCUCCAUGUGCCUUAGCAGAGCUUCUAGGAGGAUCUGUUCCAUGAUUAUAUUGCUAUUAAGCUUUAGUUAUAUCAGUGUUUAUAGAAUUUCUUGUUUAAGUCUUGGUUUUCUGUAAUGCUCAGUGACUUUCCCGAGGUUACUGAGGUUGACUGACAUCCAUCAACAAAGUUACAGCGCAGUUUAAUACCUCAAAACCUUGUAGGACACACUACCUUCCUGGGCUGGAUGGGAAUGGAUGAGUGAAUAUCCAGAUGUGAGUGAUACCCAGAUGGGAUUCAAAGUCCCGCCCAACCUCCAGAGUGCCUCAGUCCUUAAGGGAUUUCAGUGAUCCCUGAAAGACUUCAAAUGCAAGAGAGACAGCUGAUGAGGGAACCUCUCUGUGGCACCAGCUUCAUUGCCAUGAACACUACCUCUGAAAGAGCUGAUUUAUUUUCUGUGCCGUGUAUGAUGCAUGAAGCAGGGGGCUGAAAAUCUAUUUUAAUGCCAGUGAGUGGUGUCAGGUGAAUACGAGCUGACACAGGAAACCAGAAAAUUAGAGCAGUUUCCCUUGACCCAAUAUUAGCAAAGGGUUUUCUGCAAGCUGUGAUAGAUGUAGAUCCUCAACCAUUGAUUUCUUUUGGUACCUGUCCACGAAUAUUAUGAUAAAGUGUUGGUUUUGUGAGGUUGUUUUUUUGUUUUUUUUUUUUUAAAGAGAGUUGAGUUGCUGCAGCAAUGUGAAAUAAUAGUGAUGUAGUUUUCUAUGAGAUACUUAAGUACCAUGACACACAGAGCAUUAGAAUUCAUCAUGCUUGUUAUUGUCCUUUAACAAAUGACUUUAUGCCAAGCAGUCAAAGCUUGGGACUACAAAUGCAGCUGGUAACUGGGGACUACCAAAUUACACAGGUAACCACACACCAUCUUCUGUGCAAAGGAUCUGAUUUGAUCAUAAAAGAGGUACUGCCAGGGACCACGUAAAUUAAGUUGUUCAUGAAGCAGAUAGGGGAUGUGGACUAAACACUGAAUUCGGGAGAGGAUUGCAAAUACAAAUGUGACAGGAGAUUAAGAGAAAAUACUUGUCAGUGAAAGGUAAUAAAUGUGUGUCCAGAACACACGGAUCUGUGACAGCAGAGAUGGAUUUUUGUUUGAGGAGACUCCCUGAUGUCCUCAUGACACCCCGUCUAAGCUUGACUGAGCUUCAGACUCAUGGAUUCUGUGCAAAUGGGUUCACCUGCACCUGAAGUCCUCUGUUUUCCUCUGACAGCAACACCUUUUCAAAGGACUCAAUUGGCUGACUUCCAAAUAUUUUUUUCCAUUAUUUCAGCCCUGAUCAUCAAUUCUGUUCCCUGGGGUAAAUGUCCCUGGAUGUACCCUUUUCCUCCUCCCAUCCAUUUGAUUUGACUGCCCAGGAAUUUUUUCAAGUUUCAGCUUCAUUUUCCUCUCUCACACCUGGAUGGCUUAAUCAUUGAAACAUCAGCCAUGAAUACAUGGUGUCCAUAGAAUUGUCAAGGACUCCUUACACAGCCUAUAAAAUCCCCAGAGUCAGCAGAGUGAGGGGAAAAACCCCCUAAGGCUCCCCAAGAACUGAAAAUUUUGUGUUUGUGGCAGCCAAGCCCAAAGUAGUUCAUCUGAGAGGCAAGUCUUAUCAGCUGAGGCUUGGGGUUGACACUGGUAAAGGAAUCUCUGGACUGCACUUUACUGCAUAAAUGAGGAGAUUAAGGUGUUCAGACUUUAUGCAUUGAAGUAUACAGGGUAAAAGACUUUGGUUCAUAGCAUGAAGCUGUGUCAGGGGAGGAUUAGGUAGGUUUUAGAAGUAUCUUCCCCCACAGGGCACUGGAACAGGCUCCCCAGGGAAGUGGUGACAGCACCAAAAGCCUCACAGAGUUCAAGAAGCAUUUGGACAAUGCUCUCGGGCACAUGGUGGGAGUCUUGGGGAUGGUGCUGUGCUGUCAGGUGUCAGACUUUAUGAUCUUUGUGGAUCACUUCCAACUCAAGGUGUUCUCAGGAUGGUCUUCCAGCAAUAUAAUUAGAAUUUGGUCAUUCCUGCAAAACUAACUAUGGUGCAGCCAUAUAUGCCUACUUUCAUCAUGGCAAAGUUUAUUUCUUAUAUCCAUGAGGGAGUUAAAGCAACUUAAAACUUCAAGUGGAGAGUAUAUUAUAGCUGGUGGGUGGGAGAUUGCUGAAUAUCCUUAUCCCAGUAAUAGUGGCCUGAGGAAGAAGAAAUUUUAUUGGAGAAAAAAUUCUUAGUCUCUCAGGAGUGAAGUGGGUAGCACCUAAACCUAUUACCUGAACUGCCUUUUUUUUUAACUGUAGAUAAACCAGGAUGUAUUUUAAGUCUUAUCUUACCCCAGUUGUUCUCCUCUUCCCCAGCAAAAGGGACUUUUUCAAUCAGUCCCACUUUGUCAGGCUUCUUUCUUGUGAGAUGCCCCUCCAGUGUUUCACUCAAGAUAUUUUUCCGUUUUUCAGGGCAAAAUCCUUUUCUGACUUCUGUACAGCAGUGAAAACUGCUCUCCGUGCUUGGUUCCUGAUCUAACCUUGCUGCCACUUUCUCAUUUCAUCAUACAACCAGUGGGAAAUAUUUGUCAAGGCAUGUAAUCAUUUGGAUUGCAGGUGGUGAAGUGCACUGUCUUUAAGUCUUCUAAAAUAUGUCCAUAAGCAGCAGAUGCAAUGAGAUGUGGUUUCCUAAGGACACGUCUAGAGAUUGAACUCUGCUGCUUAGUAAAGUCUGUAUUGGCACUGCUGUUGUCCCCACAGUGAGGUGAUCAAUGAUGCUUGUUUUCAUUUCUCAGUGACUUUUAUCUGUUAAUUAUACAGGAACUUCAGAUUUUCCAAAUCUUUCCCACUCUUACAACUGGACAUCAGCCUCAAGUGUGAUUGUUGAAGUGACUGGUUGUGGCAGAAACACAGACAUACUAUCAGAAAGCUUAGUAGUGAACCUUAGGAAAUGAAUUCACACAGUCCUGUAGAGAUGUGAAUUUUCUGGGACUUUGGAGCUGUCAUGGCUGAGAGAGCUGAAAGCAUCAGCUGAGUAUAUCAGAACACACAACUGCUCGACAUCUGUUCAUCAAGGGCACUGAUGCUUCAGUCCCUUGAUGCUGAGGCCUGCCUGUUUUGGGAUGUCAGGGACCUGUGUUCCCCCAGGCACACACCUGGUGACAGCAGCAGCCACUGCAAUUGCUGAGAGCCUAAUGCAGAUGCUAGAAAGAUGGAAUGGUCCCAGCAUCACCAUGACACAACUUUCCCUGCAGCAGCAAGUGGCUGAGAAGGAUUUUGAAUGCCUCUGAAUGUGAGAGAUACAUAACUGCAUAUCCAACCAACACUUGCCCCUGAAGAGGAAGAGAUAAAAGGUUCUUACUUUAGCCACCCCAUUGCUGGAUUUUUACACUGAGCCCUCCUGCCCAACAGUAUUCAAAAAAGAUGUGUAUGGUCUAAAAGACUGGAGCUACCCAUAACACAAAGUGUCACCAAUACCACAGAUGACUGAACUGGCUUAGAACCAGAAUAAAUCUUACCUCAUUCUUUUUCCAUGUGGAUGAAGACAGCUAUCUAGAAGCAAAAGCAAAUACAGCUUGGGAGCUAGAAGCACAAAACACAAAUACCAGAGGUACGUCACCAGUUGCGCCACAAGCUUCCUUCAUGAAGUUUGGUUAUCCUGCUAUUACAUAAUCUGCCCUGUGGUUUUGUGUUACAGCAAAACCAACCAUGGACUAGAAAAUAAAAUCAAAAGUGUGUGAAGAAAGGAAGUGUUGUGGGAUGAAAGAGAUCCAUAACACCUGACUAAGCAUCAAAUGUCAUCUCAGUUGUCAAUGCAAGGAGGAAGAUCUCUGGAGCUUCUUUUCCAAGCAGUUCAAAUUCCUUUCUCACUGCUGUCUCUGCAAGGUGCACAGGACAGAUGUGUCACUGCUUGGGACAACACGGCUCAUGGGACAACAGUGCUCAGAGCACUGAGCCCUGUCAUGGAGUGGCCAGGACACUUCCAGGCCAAAAUCUUCUCCCCAGGCAACCCCAGUAACUCAGAGACAUAAAGAUCACUGUUAUGUGUGAGGGUGGGGGCUAAUUCAAAGUGCUUUAAGUGCCAGAGGUGGUUGCUUCACAUACACCUCCGUGGUGCCUGUGUGAUGGGCAGGAGAUUGGUCCCCGAGGACAAGGCAGAAGGCUUCAGGGCCUGCUAAGGACACUGCUUGGCUUGUCCUGGGAGAGAAGAGCUGAAUAUGAUGACAUCUGUGGCCACAAAGUCUGUCUGUGCUGUUCCCCCAUCACUCAUGCUCAGAUUUCCUCUGGGAGGGAGAUGAUUGAUUUACUCCAGCAGGAAUGAACUACCACACAGGCACUGCAGAAAGCAAGGGAAACAAGCUGAGGAGAGAGUAAAGAUAAUCCCAGCUCAAAUCUUUACUUUAAUUGUAUCCUGGGCGGCAAUACCCACAAUAAAACAGAGCAUUGGUCUCUGACUCUGCACUUACUGACUCUGGACACACAGACAGCUCUUAAAAAUAUAAAUUGUCUCCUCUGAUUGCUGCCCCAAGUGAUGGGUCCCAGCAGAAGGAGAGAGCCAAGCCUAAGGGCCCUGUCCAGUCAUGCCAAUACCAGUGUUUAUUUCCCUCAACUCACCACAGGUGGGAACAGGCUUGUCUAUUGAUUCUUUAAGCCUUGCACCUUUUCCUACUCUGAAAGGCUAUGGAUCAUUGCAGGAAUCUGCUGCGUUCUGCCUCUGGACUGUGGGGGGUGGGGUAAUAUGGGGCAUGGGGCUGGCAUUUGCACACCC